GAUGAACGCUGGCGGCGUGCCUAAUACAUGCAAGUCGAGCGAAAAGACGAGGAGCUUGUUCCGUUCACGUUAGCGGCGGACGGGUGAGUCACACGUGGAUCACCCCCUUAUAAUUCUGGGAUAACUACGGAAAAGCGGAGAUAAUCCCGUAUGAUAUCUUGAACCGCAUGGGGCAUUAGUAAGUUACGGUUUUGCUGUCUCUUAUCGAUGGUUCCGCGCCGUAUUAGCUAGUUGUGAGGGUAACGGCCUACCAAGGCUACGAUGCGUAGCCGAAGUGAGAGACGGGUAGGCCGCACGGGAACGGGGACAGGGACAAGGCGCCUACGAGAGGCAGCAGACGGGAAUGUGCGGCAGUGGUCGAAAGCAUGACGCAGCGAGGCCGCGUGAGUGAUGAAGGUCUUCGGAUCGUAAAGCUGUGUUAUGGGGGAAGAACAGAUGUGGAAGUAAAUGUGGACGUCGUGACGGUACCGAAUAAGAAAGCAACGGCUAACUACGUG
rnacentral:rRNA from 1 species